GUUAAGUUAAUAAGGGCGCACGGUGGAUGCCUUGGCACUAGGAGCCGAAGAAGGACGUGACAAACGACGAUAUGCCUUGGGUAGCUGUAAGUAAGCGAUGAUCCAGGGAUUUCCGAAUGGGGGAACCCAACAGGUACUACCUGUUACCCGCAUCUGUUAAGGAUGUGAGGAGGAAGACGCAGUGAACUGAAACAUCUAAGUAGCUGCAGGAAGAGAAAGCAAAAGCGAUUGCCUUAGUAGCGGCGAGCGAAACGGCAGGAGGGCAAACCGAAGAGUUUACUCUUCGGGGUUGUAGGACUGCAAUGUGGACUCAAAGAUUAUAGAAGAAUGAUUUGGGAAGAUCAGCCAAAGAGAGUAAUAGCCUCGUAUUUAAAAUAGUCUUUGUACCUAGCAGUAUCCUGAGUACGGCGGGACACGAGAAAUCCCGUCGGAAUCUGGGAGGACCAUCUCCCAACCCUAAAUACUCCCUAGUGACCGAUAGUGAACCAGUACCGUGAGGGAAAGGUGAAAAGAACCCUGAAUAAGGGAGUGAAAUAGAACCUGAAACCGUGUGCCUACAACAAGUUCGAGCCCGUUAAUGGGUGAGAGCGUGCCUUUUGUAGAAUGAACCGGCGAGUUACGUUAUGAUGCGAGGUUAAGUUGAAGAGACGGAGCCGUAGGGAAACCGAGUCUGAAUAGGGCGAUUAGUUGCAUGUCGUAGACCCGAAACGGGAUGAGCUUACCAUGGGCAGGUUGAAGCGAGGGUAAAACCUCGUGGAGGACCGAACCCGUUAAGGUUGAAAACUUUUGGGAUGACCUGUGGUAAGGGGUGAAAGGCCAAUCAAAUUCCGUGAUAGCUGGUUCUCUCCGAAAUGCAUUUAGGUGCAGCGUCUAAUGAAUACCGUCGGGGGUAUAGCACUGAAUUGGCUAGGGGGCUUACCGGCUUACCAAACCAUAUCAAACUCAGAAUACCGACGAGUACUGUUAGGCAGUGAGACUGCGGAUGCUAAGGUCCGUAGUCGAAAGGGAAAGAGCCCAGACCAUCAGCUAAGGUCCCUAAAUCGUGUCUAAGUGGCGAAGGUUGUGGAACUACUUUGACAUCCAGGAGGUUGGCUUAGAAGCAGCCAUCCUUGAAAGAGUGCGUAAUAGCUCACUGGUCAAGUGAUUCCGCGCCGACAAUGUAACGGGGCUCAAGCACACCACCGAAGUUGUAGAUUUCGCACUAUAGACAAGCCUUCGUGGUUCAGUCGUGCGGAGUGGUAGGAGAGCGUCGUGUGGCGAGUGAAGCGGCGGAGUGAUCCAGCCGUGGACGCUACACGAGUGAGAAUGCAGGCAUGAGUAGCGAAAGACGGGUGAGAAACCCGUCCUCCGAAAGACCAAGGGUUCCAGGGUCAAGCUAAUCUGCCCUGGGUAAGUCGGGACCUAAGGCGAGGCCGACAGGCGUAGUCGAUGGGUAACCAGUUGAUAUUCUGGUACCGGCUUGUCACCGUCCGUGUCGAGGUGUGUGAUGCUAAGCAUGUGAGCUUGUCUUGGGAGUGUUUUUGAUGCUUCUGGGGUGGGUGAGUGUGUGAACCGAUCAUGUAGUAGGCAAGCUGCGGAGGGACGCAGUGAGGUAGCUCAUCCCCGGUGAUGGUUGUCCGGGGCUAAGUGUGUGGACUGUCUGGUAGGUAAAUCCGCUGGGCGUGAAGGUUGAGGCAUGAUGGGGAGCCCACGGUUGUGGGUGAGUGAGUGAUCCUGUACUGUCGAGAAAAGCUUCGUGAGCGAGGUGGCGGGUCCGCCCGUACCCUAAACCGACACUGGUGGAUAGGUAGAGUAUACCGAGGCGAUCGAGUGAAUCGUGGUGAAGGAACUCGGCAAAAUGCCCCCGUAACUUUGGGAUAAGGGGGACCUGAGCUGUCGUGCACCCGUGCGGUGUGGUGGCGGUGAGGGGCGCAGAGUCCAGGGGGAAACGACUGUUUACCAAAAACACAGGUCCGUGCGAAGUCGUAAGACG
rnacentral:rRNA from 1 species